AAAAGGAUGAGCCAGCCUGGGUCCGCCGCAUCGCAUAUGUGAGGAUCACCUCGAAGCUCCCCUCGGUCUCCUCUCAUACUUCGUGGUCCUCGCACACCUCGUGGCUGGGACUGCACAUAGUUUGGCUGCCCGCGUGCCUCGUCGAUCUCCCGGGCCGUCAACGGUUAGCAGGGCCCUGAUGUCAGCUGCCUGAGGGAGGAUUCGGGCCCGUCGAACUCGACGGCGCAGUUGCCGUUGGCUUCCAUUGAUGCGAUGAAGGUGUGGAUCUCGUUCCCCUUAGCUCUUGCAGAUUGUGGUUGUGGGGAUCCUGGGGGUGUUAUGUCCGUCCCCGAGCGCCGGGCCGGAGGCGUCGUUGCUGUCCCCAAGCGAGCACGCUGACGCAUCGUCUUGAUCCUCGACAGCCACAACCCCGCUUCAGCAUCGCAUUCUUCCACCUGCAGGCCCCCCCUCUCCAUUUUCCUUUUUCUGUCUUUGUACGACUGAACCAAUAUACUUUAAGGUAUUUCUUAACAGUGACAAAUGGUAUAUAUUGACUGCUAUUGAAAUGAGAUAGUAGUAAGUCUGGAUGCCCAACGCAGCUUAAGGCAAAUUGUUAAUUAGUUUAUGCGCCAUCCACUUUUUUCAGGGCUUGAGACCGGAAUCGCAGUUUGUGAUUAGUGUAUGGUGUAUUUGUGAUUAGCUGUAGUUUUAAUAUUUCCCAAAGACAAAUUUAUUUUAAUAACUGAGUAGUAAAAUUAGGUUUGAUGGCAUUCUACAUAUGAAAUAUAACGAUGAUCUGAUGCUCUCAACAUUGGCUUGACUAUAUAAUAAGCUUAAAAUAUCAGAUGAUGUAGAAUGUCGAUUGAUGUUUGGUAUUACUGAACUAUUUCCAUAAAAUGUUGAUGCAUCUUUCCAGUACUUAUCCGGAAUAGUUGACCAUCUCCGUCCUGUCAUAUCUUGUUAUCAUAGGUAAGUGAAUUAUUAUUUUGAAGGUAGUCUGCAGUGUACUUUUUUCCUUCAUGUACCUAUGAUUAUAUAUAAUGUAUAAAAGGCAGUGUCAUCCAUCUAGCAAUGCGAUUGAGAUGGCCUCUACCCCGGCGGAAGUUCAAGCCAACACCCAUCUACUCCCUCCGUAAAUAAAUAUAAGUGUUUAGAUCACUAAAGUAGUGAUCUAAACACUCUUAUAUUUCUUUACAGAGGGAGUACUUCAUAUGUAUGCAAGUAGCGGCGCGUGCUCUUUUAAAAAAAUCUUUGUUUCUAUCUGACCAAUUCCUUUGGUUUGUACUAAUAAUUGUACAGUAUACAUGCACUUGGCCUGAGUGCAUGGACCACUCUUAUGUAGUAAAUUCCCAAAUAGACAAUGGAUAAUGGUACAUUAGAGUAUAAAAUUGAUAAUGCAUGAUUAGUUGAGUGAAAUCAGUUCUGGCUCUCCAUGUUUGAUGCUGUGAAGCAGAGUAUGUGUAAAGCACUACCGAGUUUUUCUAUCCUGGCCAUUUAGUCCUGCUGUACAAUAGAUUCCAACAGUCAUACAGUCAAUUGUUGCUGCUAGUUAGUAGGUUAAUAGCGUAACCCCCCUUAAAAAUUAGUUCUUUUGUUUAUUAGCAGCUUCAUUCCUUUCUGUAUUAUAGUUUGAGGAACUUUUUAGAUAGUGAAUUCCUUGAUCUCAUUUAUUUGCUGUUUCUACCAAGUGUUUGUCCUCAUGUUUGUAGUCAUUCAUUGAAUAUGAAGAGCAAGAAAGUGAAAAUCCGAGUUGGAGAGGUGCAGGUCUAUCAUAAGGAUGUGUUCAUUUUCGGGAAUGAUUAGGCGGAGCAGACAUGUUACGAAUGUACAUGUUCAAUUGAGUACGCCUCCUUUUCACAUCUACUGUUUUUUUACUAUGAUUUUCACAUCUAUUGUUAUUAUAAACAAAAGCAUAUUUUUUAAUUCUUUGAGACUGAAAUAAAUCUAAGUACAUAUGAGAAAGGAAGAAGAAAUAUCAAUAGAAUUUGCAGAAUUAAAUAUUAAGAUGAGUAACAUAUGCAAAAUAAAUCAAUAAUGAGAACUCUGAACUUUUAUUUUUUUGAUAAAGUUUGUAGUGACAAUGAUUAUCGUUUGUUUGUGCAAAACCUCCAUUAACCAUACUUCCAAAAAGUUUUGCCCAUAGAGUGAUCCCUAUCUUCUCACCACUGAAAGAAUUUAACCAUGUAAAAGUAAUGUAAAAAGUUAUAUACAUAACUUUAAAAUUUCUUACAUAAUUUGAAUAACUUACUCUAGCAAAAGAACAUAAAUCUCGCUGAUGUUUGAAGUUUGCUGUCAUGGUGAAGACGAUUAAGCCGGGCUGGUGGUCAGCUGAGUGGGCACAUGUCUUAGAAUAACAGAGGGUAAUAGUUCAAUCCUCCAAUUUUUUAGAACUGGCCUGGUCCAAAACUUCAGUUGUAGAAAUUCUUCCGAAUUUAUAGAGGAAAAAAAACUGAAGGACUUGUUUGUGAAGUCUUUCGGGGAGGUGCCGUUAGUAGGAGAGGAGUUUCAGAGUUUAGCCAAGGUUGCUUGACGGUGUUCCGUGGACUAUUCUUUAUCAGUUGCAGGACCUAAUUUAUUCUUCCCUUCAAUUGUAUAUGUGUAUGGUGUGAACUUUGACAAUGAGACAGGCAGAAUCACAUGAAGAAUGCUUUAUCCUCAGUCCAAAAGGUUCAUCGCUGUUAGUUUCUAUCAGUUUGGGUGUAACCACGACGUGAGAUGCAUUAAUUAUGUAGUUUUUAUAUUAAAGUUUAACUGCCUAUAUUAUGCACUUCAUAAGCAGACAAUCAAGAUACCUUAGAUAAUAGAAAGGAAGCAACAACCACCAAUGUUUAAGAUCAAGAAAACAGUGCUUAUUGUGUCACAAGCGAACACUGCUUGUUUUCUCCAUGUCAUCAUGCAGACCUUGAGCCAAAGAGGUCAAUUAUAAUUUUGAUGUUUGUCAGGUGACUGUGAAAUUACUAUUCCUAUGUAGUAGAUACUAAAAGUUAUCUGAUUUGAGCACUAAGAUAUGUGCAGGUGCAAAAGGAUUAGAAGAUGGUUAUGGGACAACCGUGAUUGUUGACCAGAAAAUAGCUAUUUCGAAGUUUGAUUAAGAAAGGCACAGUAAUCAACAUUUUGGGUACAAAAUUCUAUUGGCUGAGAUGUUCAUGGACAGUAAUGGCCAGGAACCAAUACUUUAUUGUCUGAUGCAUAUUCUCCUUUCAUGUACCAUGCAUGUGACAAAAGAAUCAACUUGAUGAUGCUUAUGUAUAUUUUGGCAUCGAGUAUCAACUUCUAUGUGUGUUUUGUUAACAAUUAAUGAAUAGAACAAUUAUGGUAACAAAAAAAGAGUUGAAGAGCAGAAAACAAAAGGCUGUGCAUGCAAUGACCAGGGUAGG
rnacentral:rRNA from 1 species